AGUGAACGCUGGCGGUAGGCCUAACACAUGCAAGUCGAACGGCAGCACAGUAAGAGCUUGCUCUUACGGGUGGCGAGUGGCGGACGGGUGAGGAAUACAUCGGAAUCUACUUUUUCGUGGGGGAUAACGUAGGGAAACUUACGCUAAUACCGCAUACGACCUACGGGUGAAAGCAGGGGAUCUUCGGACCUUGCGCGAUUGAAUGAGCCGAUGUCGGAUUAGCUAGUUGGCGGGGUAAAGGCCCACCAAGGCGACGAUCCGUAGCUGGUCUGAGAGGAUGAUCAGCCACGCUGGAACUGAGACACGGUCCAGACUCCUACGGGAGGCAGCAGUGGGGAAUAUUGGACAAUGGGCGCAAGCCUGAUCCAGCCAUACCGCGUGGGUGAAGAAGGCCUUCGGGUUGUAAAGCCCUUUUGUUGGGAAAGAAAAGCAGCAGGUUAACACCCCGCUGUUCUGACGGUACCCAAAGAAUAAGCACCGGCUAACUUCUU
rnacentral:rRNA from 1 species